GAUGAAGAACGUAGCAAAAUGCGAUAAGUAAUGUGAAUUGCAGAAUUCAGUGAAUCAUCGAAUCUUUGAACGCACAUUGCGCCCGCUGGUAUUCCGGCGGGCAUGCCUGUUCGAGCGUCAUUUCAACCCUCAAGCCCCCGGGUUUGGUGUUGGGGAUCGGCUCUGCCCUUCUGGGCGGUGCCGCCCCCGAAAUACAGUGGCGGUCUCGCCGCAGCCUCCUCUGCGUAGUAGUUUACAACCUCGCAUACGGAGCGCGGCGCGGCCACGCCGUAAAACCCCCUACUUUCAAAGGUUGACCUCGAAUCAGGUAGGAAUACCCGCUGAACUUAAGCAUAUCAAUAAGCGGAGGA
rnacentral:misc_RNA from 1 species